rnacentral:misc_RNA from 1 species
GUGAGUGCUGCGCAGGUGUACCAGGA